rnacentral:rRNA from 1 species
GGCCGCGGGAAUUCGAUUCAGGCCUAACACAUGCAAGUCGAGCGGUAGAGAGAAGCUUGCUUCUCUUGAGAGCGGCGGACGGGUGAGUAAUGCCUAGGAAUCUGCCGGGUAGUGGGGGAUAACGUUCGGAAACGGACGCUAAUACCGCAUACGUCCUACGGGAGAAAGCGGGGGACCUUCGGGCCUUGCGCUAUCAGAUGAGCCUAGGUCGGAUUAGCUAGUUGGUGAGGUAAUGGCUCACCAAGGCUACGAUCCGUAACUGGUCUGAGAGGAUGAUCAGUCACACUGGAACUGAGACACGGUCCAGACUCCUACGGGAGGCAGCAGUGGGGAAUAUUGGACAAUGGGCGAAAGCCUGAUCCAGCCAUGCCGCGUGUGUGAAGAAGGUCUUCGGA